AUCGCAUACGAGGAAUGUAUUGCAUCGAAUCAUAGUAGUUUUAGAGAUACGAGUCGGGCAAAUGUUCAAAGUAUUUAAUCGACGAUACUCUAACGAUACUUGGAGAUUCAUUCUGCUAAGAGAAAGUUGGGCGAGAGAAAGAAAAAAUUAAUUUCACAAUAAUGAAAAUGGUGUGUGGGCCAGAUAAAAAAAAAAUGUAAUUAAUAUCGGUUGAUGGUGUUAAUUAAAAAAGCCAGGAACAAAACGUUCCUGCCGAGGCCAGCGAAGAAACGGGCAUUUCCACGCUCCGCCAUCGUGGAGAAUCGGGAUUCAAUUCGAUUACGUCGUAACGUUCUUGUGAUUGAUACCGGUCAUUAACCGCAUUCGUGACGUAAUUAAUGGGAAUCCGUAAAACGACGAGGAAGUAAAAAAAGGAAGUAAAAAAUUGGCGGAGCGGCGUGAAAACAUGUUGUAAACUGUUAAUUGUUCGAAAAGAUGGCGAUCGAAGAGAUUAUUGCAAAAGUUAAUUAAUCUCGAUACCACAAGGUAAUUUUGUAAAUUAAAUAAUAAGAAAUAUAUUUUCAAACUCAAUCAAAA